AUUGAACGCUGGCGGAAUGCUUUACACAUGCAAGUCGAACGGUAGAGGGGGCAACCCCUCGAGAGUGGCGAACGGGUGAGUAAUAUAUCGGAACGUGCCCAGUCGUGGGGGAUAACGUAGCGAAAGUUACGCUAAUACCGCAUACGAUCUAAGGAUGAAAGCGGGGGAUCGCAAGACCUCGCGCGAUUGGAGCGGCCGAUAUCAGAUUAGGUAGUUGGUGGGGUAAAGGCUCACCAAGCCAACGAUCUGUAGCUGGUCUGAGAGGACGACCAGCCACACUGGAACUGAGACACGGUCCAGACUCCUACGGGAGGCAGCAGUGGGGAAUUUUGGACAAUGGACGCAAGUCUGAUCCAGCCAUUCCGCGUGCAGGAUGAAGGCCCUCGGGUUGUAAACUGCUUUUGUACGGAACGAAAAGGUCUCUCUUAAUACUAGGAGCUCAUGACGGUACUGUAAGAAUAAGCACCGGCUAACUACGUGCCAGCCGCCGCCGUAA
rnacentral:rRNA from 1 species